rnacentral:rRNA from 1 species
GACAGAGGCCUCGAGCGUUAGGCGGAAUCACUGGGCUUAAAGCGUGUGUAGGCGGAUGCCUAAGUACCUUGUGAAAUCCCACGGCUCAACCGUGGAACGGCUGGGUAUACUGGGCGUCUUGAGCCAGCUAGGGGCGACCGGAACAAACGGUGGAGCGGUGAAAUGCGUAGAUAUCGGGAAGAACACCAGUGGCGAAGGCGCUCUACUGGGCCACAACUGACGCUGAGGGACGAAAGCUAGGGGAGCGAAAGGG